GUGGGGGGUAAAUCAAAAGAGAGAAGAUGUUAUUAACCGAGAAUUUUUUUUUACGUACCUGAGGAUUCAAAAAGAAAAACACGGAACCAGCUAGAAUGACAUUGGAAUUGUAGCAACAAGAAUAUAUAUAAUAAAGAUUUUGUAUAGAAAGAAUCUAAAUUGAAUAGGUGGUUGUGUCUUAUUUAAUGACGGUAAAUGCAAACUAAAAUUAGAAAAUACUUUAUUAUAUUAAAUAUAACAGAAUUUAAUGUAUUCUCCAAAGAAAGAUUUUAGUUUAGGAUAUUGUGGGUAUUUAGUAAACCAUUAAUAAUUUUAUUAUCUUUAUUGAUAUUUAAAUAAUAUUGUCGAAAAUAUUUACUCCCUCAUUCCCCUUGAAUUGUAUACAUUGGGGGACGGGGAAGCGGCACAUACUUUAAUGCUCUUGUAAAGUAUAGUUCUAUAACUUAUUUUUAUUCUAGAAAAAAAACCUUAAAAAAAAGUUACAAAAUUAUACUUUAUAGGAGCAUUAAAGUGUGUGUCAAGCAGUGAAAAAAAAUGUAUAGAAAUGAGUGGGAUGGAAGCAGUAGUUGUCUUACAUUUAAGUUAAUUUAUAUUUUAAUUUCUACAUUAAGUAUUGUCAUCAUCAAUGUUGAAAAUAUACAAAAUUCACAUGGUGAGUUAAAAGGUUAAGUCUUCUUCCUACGUGGAGAUAGUGGUUGGGAAACCGUUGAUGUAGUCCUAAAUUUUGGCAAUUAGUCUAUCGAAGUUCAUAUGUUCAUUAUAUCUAUUCUUCUUAUCAAUUCAUGUGAGUCAUCAUUAGUUUUGCACAAUUCACAACAAAUUUUAAAGAUAAAAAGGAAAAAAAUUUGAAAAUGAGUAUUGAAACAAAUGCAAUAAAUGUAUCACAAGAAUUAAAAAGAUGAAUAUAUAUAAUGAACAAAUGAACUUCGAUAGACUAAUUGCCAAAAUUUGAGACUACAUCAACGGUUUCCCAACCACUAUCUCUCCACCUAGGAAGAAGAACUUUUCAAGUUACCAUGUGAAUUUUGUCAUAAUAUUUUGAUACGUUGAUGAUGACAAUACUUAUAUAGAAAAUAAAUUUUAAAUUAACUUAAAUGUAAGACCACUAAAUGUUAUCCGACUAUAUUAUUUAAAUAUCAAUAAAGAUACUAAAAUUAUUAAUGAUUUCCUAAAUCCAUACAAUAUUCUAAACUAAAAUCUUUCUUUGGUGAAUACAUUAAAUUUUAUUAUAUUUAAUAUAAUAAAAUGUAUUUUCUAAUUUUAGUUUGCAUUUACUGUCAUUAAAUAAGACACGACCACCUAUUCAAUUUAGAUUCUUUCCAUACAAGUUCUUUAUCAUAUAUAUUUUUGUUGCUACAUUUCCAAUGUCAUUCUAGCUGGUUCUGUCCAGCAAAAAAAUUAGAGAAAAUAUUAGUGCCAAAUUUAUUUCCCAAAACAAAUUAAGCACAUAGCAUUAGUGACUAAAACAACAAACUUUUCCAAAUGGGGGGGAAGAAUUUUAUGGGAAAAAAACAUUUUUCUGCCUAAAUUUUUUUUUUACACUUGGAGGCUUUAAUAAAAUUAAAAGAGUAAAAUUAUAAGAUGUAGUCGGAGUAAGAUUCUUGCAUUAUAACGGUUGGAAACAUUACUGAAAAGACAAAUAGUCAACAAAUGUUACUAUAAUUUAAAAUAUGUAAAAUGUCAAACAGAUUCAAAAUAAAAUAUUUUCACUAAACCAAUAUUGUAAAGAUUGAAAAUAAAUAUUUGUUUUGUUUCUUUUAGUUAAUAGUUUAAUUAUAUUUGGCAUAGGAAUCUUUGUGUAUUUACCUAUUUGUUUUACGAGUGGGACUAGGUAUCUAUUAUCUAAUUAGUCAAGAGAUUUGGAACAAACCCAAUUGUUUAAGGAUCUUAUUCCAGCACGUUAUUACAUUAAGUCUUGUAUACAAGGCCUUUAGUUCUUCGUGAGUCAUAUAAUCCGAAAGUAUUAUACUAAGUCUCUACAUUGGAAAAUUAUGAUCGAGUCUUUUCAUGUUAUGGUUGGAAUACAUAGUCCUUCUCCGAUGUUUGGAUUCAUGGGGUGGUGCUACUUCUAUAUUUAAAUCACUCUAUUUUUAUCAUUUUUAAUUAAUAUUUCAGUUCAUAAAUUGUUUUUUCUUGAGUUAUAUCUUGCAUCAAUUUAAUCGUUUAUAUCAUAAUCAUUGUAUAAUGUGUGUAUUAUAUUUAUAUAUAUAUAUAUAUAUAUAUAUAUAUAUAUAUAUAUAUACUAUUAUAUUUAUAUAUAUAUAUAUAUAUAUAUAUAUAUAUAUAUAUAUAUAUAGGGUGCUUCUCAGUGAGGAACUCCAUAACUAGUAACUUAGGAACUAAAACCGUAUGAAUAAAGACAACCAAUAUGCACGUGAUAAAGUGGAAAGCAGUUACGUUUUUUUUGGAUAAACAAAGCAGUUACAUCUACAUGUAAGUAUGUAACCUUGGUUUUUCACGUGUUAGUUUUUGGUUUUAAUAUAUUUUUAUUAGAUAAUUUUAUGUUCUGAUUUAUUAUUAUGUGUUUAAAUAUUUCUGCUCAAUAUUAAAUUUUUACAAUUAUUUUUGUGUUCAGUAUUUUUUUGCUUUGGUAUUGUUUUCUAUCAUAGUUUUUUGUUCAUUUUUUGUCCUGUAUAUUAUUUUGUCCUGUAUAUUAUUUUUUGUUCAAAUUAACGAUUUAAUAUGACACCUAAUAAUUAAGGUUUAAAAUUUUAUGUUUGAGUAUUAAAUUUUAAUAUAUUUAACCGGUUAUGUAAUUUUUUUUCAUGUUCUGUAAUUUAUUAGUGUACAUGUUCUGUAAUUUAUUAGUGUACAUGUUUUUUAAUCUUUUUUCUCAUGUUUUGUAAUUUAUUUUUCCUGUUCUGUAAUUCAUUCUUUUAUAUAAUAUUAUUUAUUUCCAUUUUUAAAAAGUCCAAUGUGUUCUGUAUUUUAUUUAUGUAAGUGUUCUGUAAUUUGUUUCUCAUAUUCUGUAAUUCAUAUUUUAUAUUUAAUAAUUUUUUGUGUGAUAUAAUUUGUUUGUAACUUUUUUUAAGUAAAACUAAAUUUAUUAAUUAAUAAAUAAAGAUACGUGCAGGAUACUGUAAAUCAUGUGCUGUAUAUUAGUUUUUUGUAAUUGAAAAUCAUUUGUACAUGUUGCAGAUAACUGCUAUGUGCACAGUGAGUUGGAUGAUUAACACGUGGAUGGCUUACGUUAUAGUUCCUAGGUUACUCAUGCAAAUUGGUUCCUCAAUGAACCACACCCUAUAUAUAUAUAUAUAAGAAAAGUUCUAUAAUAACAUAUACAUACAUAUAUAUAUGUGUGUGUGUAUGUAUAUAUAUAAGAACAUUCUAAGAAGACCACUGUUUCACCGGAGACCUUAGAGACCAUACACGU
rnacentral:lncRNA from 1 species